CCUCGAACUCUACAUGGCGCCAAUACUUUCAGAUAUUGGCGCCAUGUAGUGUUCGCGGAC
rnacentral:pre_miRNA from 1 species